rnacentral:rRNA from 1 species
UACGAAGGGGGCAAGCGUUGUUCGGAAUCAUUGGGCAUAAAGGGCGCGUAGGCGGAUUUGUAAGUCGAUUGUGAAAUCCCUGGGCUUAACCCGGGAAUUGCAGUCGAAACUGCAAGUCUUGAAUGCUCGAGAGGAUGGUGGAAUUCCUGGAGUAGUAGUGAAAUACGUAGAUAUCAGGAGGAACACCGGAGGCGAAGGCGGCCAUCUGGCGAGACAUUGACGCUGAGGCGCGAAAGCGUGGGGAGCAAACAGG